rnacentral:miRNA from 1 species
GAUGGGAGCAGGACAUUG